UAUGCACGCAUACGCGACAAUCACUUGGGGCUCAUUUGUUUAUUACUCAACAAAACGCUGCUUAAAUACCAAUCAAUGUACGCUCAAGUCAAAUGUCAUUGUUGGUUCACGACCAAACGUAAAAUCAGGUACGGCCGUCGGGAACGUUCCUCGAUACGUACGGUAUGUGCGAACUCGAUUAUGCCAAGAACGAAAAUGAUUUUUGUUUUAAGAUUGUAUUGGACUUUGUUAUUUUCUGUUCUUCCUUAACGUAUUUCAACGGAAUUUAUACGAAGUGCACUUGGACAUGUUUCCUUAUUUAUGGAUAGAAUUACCCAAUCUCGUCGCAAUGUGUUAAUAAUAAAGUAUACAUUGUUGGAACAAAUGCAACAACCCGAUUUGUGUGGAGAACAAUAUUGUACUGGAAAGAAAGUUUUGAUGUUUAUAAUUUUUUCUACUGGUUUUCUACGAUGGUAUACAACAAACAAUAACGUUUGUUGUCUGUGCAGUUCAUUCGAAGUAACGACGUUUGGAAAGAGGCAAAUAACUUGUUCAGAAUGCUGAACGAAAUCAUAGACCGAUUGCAGUGAAAAAGCUCGAUGAGAAUAUCGAGCGAUUUCCUUUUACCACCAGUGUUUUUGGGCAAGUGCUACAAAUCGGCAAUAAAAGCGCGAUCGCGGAGUGCCGUGAAGAAUAUCCGAAUGUUCCAUAAUACGAGACGGAUUUACUACUAUGCACGGUCGACGGAUUUGAAUGGCGAGCGAAACAAAACGAAGUGUACAACCGACGAGAGCACGCCGAGGACAAACGAUCGCCGAUACGUCGUUUCCCGAUUCCGAACACGUUUAUGGCCGUAUAGGUGUAUCCGGAGCGUAGGUAGGAAUCUGUGUACACUAUUACGAACGCGCAAUAAACGGACGACGACCGACCGACCAUGAACGGCCCAGUGUGAUAUUGUCGCGAAUAAAAUGAUUCUAACUGCACGCACGCGGUUUGCGGACAACCAUCAGUAAUUCUGUCUGAACUACAGUUAUUGCUUAUUAUGACACUCGUGCGUUAUUCCUUAAUUAUUCGUCUUCUUCCGUCACGUUCGCAUCACAACGAUAUGGACACGAAUCGCGUAUUUUCAUCACGCGGUCCUUUCUAGCAGCCCCACUAACCAUUAUUUACUUUCCUCGCGGAAGCAGCAACUAAAACAGUUAUUUCAGCAACGCAUGCGAACCUUUUACCCUAUUUGCUGUUAUCUUCUUACGCAGUAGCUCCGAACUUCUAAAAGUGUCUCAGCCCAGAUAAAAAUACUACGGCCUCAAGCACCCUAGCGGCCACAUGUCUACAUUUUUACUUUGCAAUUACAAGACUUAGUAAGCAUGGUUCAUACUAUAAUAGUCAGACACGUAUCGUACCGUACCGUUCCGCAAAAUAUUUUAUUAUGUGUUUUAAUUUACGUCAUUCACAUUUGAAAGUUUCCGUUUCGUUCAUACACGUACCGAUCCGAUAGAGCCUGUCCGGCAUUCCUCGCGAGCGAGAAAAAUCGCGAGGUCAGAAUAUUGCAAAGUGCAAACUAUAAAUCGGUCCCUCUGAUCCCCGGUCUCGUUUUAAAAAUGUGGUGGGAUUGCGGCCUGACUUAAACAUAGGGUUUAACGCCAUUGAUCUUGCACGCGCGAAACAGGACAUUGUUGAACUAGUCGUACUACGAUGCGUUAAGAUCCGGACCGGGGGGGGGGGAAUAAUACGAUUUGUCCAGUACACAUAGGUGGUCUCUCGUUCGAGAACCGUUCGAUUUCAAACAAAAUGGUCAAUUAUUCGUUACGACGACUUGUGUUAUUGUCAAAAUGUUUGGGGUCAUAGUUAUUUUUCAUUGCAAUUCAUUUAUUUGUGAUAACAGAUCUCUUACAGCCGAAAACCAUGUUGGUAACAAGUAUUUAAAUAUUAAUAAAAUUAUCACAGUUAUAUCCCAAAUGACUUCCAUGUGUGAACGUUUAGAAACUUGUUUAUAUUGCAAUGCAUAAAAGCAUUU
rnacentral:lncRNA from 1 species